AUUGAACGCUGGCGGCAGGCCUAACACAUGCAAGUCGAACGGUAACAGGAAGCAGCUUGCUGCUUCGCUGACGAGUGGCGGACGGGUGAGUAAUGUCUGGGAAGCUGCCUGAUGGAGGGGGAUAACUACUGGAAACGGUAGCUAAUACCGCAUAAUGUCGCAAGACCAAAGAGGGGGACCUUCGGGCCUCUUGCCAUCGGAUGUGCCCAGAUGGGAUUAGCUUGUUGGUGGGGUAACGGCUCACCAAGGCGACGAUCCCUAGCUGGUCUGAGAGGAUGACCAGCCACACUGGGACUGAGACACGGUCCAGACUCCUACGGGAGGCAGCAGUGGGGAAUAUUGCACAAUGGGCGCAAGCCUGAUGCAGCCAUGCCGCGUGUAUGAAGAAGGCCUUCGGGUUGUAAAGUACUUUCAGCGGGGAGGAAGGGAGUAAAGUUAAUACCUUUGCUCAUUGACGUUUCCCGCAGAAGAAGCACCGGCUAACUCCGUG
rnacentral:rRNA from 1 species